rnacentral:lncRNA from 1 species
GGAUGAGGAGUGGGCAGGACGCUGCAGAUGGACAUGUCUUCAAUCUAAAAAUGAGAGGGCUUUGUUCACUCAGUACGAUUCCACCAAAAACACUAGAAGAAAGGUUAUUACCGAGUUGAGCUUCGUGGAGACAAGUCAUCUUGUGCUUACAAGUCAACGGGUGAAAUGCGUUUCCUCUACUACUGGAAUCGGGAGCAUCAUCAAAGGGAUUACUAGUGGUAUAGUUUUGAGGAAUGCGACUUCUCCACCUUAGACAAGGUGACUGUCACAGAGAUAAAAAGUGCAUAGAGGUGGGUGUUGAGCUGCCCUAUUCAUCCUUGUUCCGGGUAUAGUGCUUUCAAGCUUACCGUGGGCAGGCCUUGAUCAUGCUCUAGAUUAUUCUUUUAUUUGUUUGUGUAUUUUCUUUCUAACUUGUUUUUUCUAUGUCUUAAGUUGAGCUGCCAUAUUCAUCCAAUGAUUAUCUCCCUGUUAUAUGUUGAUAGAGAGGUUCUAAAGGAAGAU